AAUAAGAAGCAAUUUUUGCAUUUAGUUUCGACCUAAAAGUUUGAUAUUAAUAAAAUAUCCUUAUUU
rnacentral:tRNA from 1 species